AUUGAACGCUGGCGGUAUGCUUAACACAUGCAAGUCGAACGGUAACAGGCCUUCGGGCGCUGACGAGUGGCGGACGGGUGCGUAACGCGUAGGAAUCUGCCGAUUAGUGGGGGACAACUUGGGGAAACUCAAGCUAAUACCGCAUACGCCCUACGGGGGAAAGCGGGGGACCUUCGGGCCUCGCGCUAAUCGAUGAGCCUGCGUUGGAUUAGCUAGUUGGUAGGGGAAAGGCCUACCAAGGCGACGAUCCAUAGCUGGUCUGAGAGGACGAUCAGCCACACUGGGACUGAGACACGGCCCAGACUCCUACGGGAGGCAGCAGUGGGGAAUAUUGGACAAUGGGCGAAAGCCUGAUCCAGCAAUACCGCGUGUGUGAAGAAGGCCUGAGGGUUGUAAAGCACUUUUAAUCGGGAGGAACAUCUGGUGGUUAAUACCCAUCAGUCUGACAUUACCGAUAGAAAAAGCACCGGCUAACUCCGUGCCAGCAGCCGCGGUAAAAC
rnacentral:rRNA from 1 species